GACGAACGCUGGCGGCGUGCUUAACACAUGCAAGUCGAACGGAAAGGCCCCCUUGUGGGGUACUCGAGUGGCGAACGGGUGAGUAACACGUGAGUAACCUACCCUUGACUUUGGGAUAACUUCAGGAAACUGGGGCUAAUACCGGAUAGGAGCUCCUGCUGCAUGGUGGGGGUUGGAAAGUUUCGGCGGUUGGGGAUGGACUCGCGGCUUAUCAGCUUGUUGGUGGGGUAGUGGCUCACCAAGGCUUUGACGGGUAGCCGGCCUGAGGGGGUGACCGGCCAGAUUGGGGAUGAGAUACGGCCAGAACGCCGAGGGGAGCAAGAAGGGGGGAUAAUUGAAAAAGGGGGGAAAGACGGAAGCGGCACCGCCGGGGGAGGGAGGAGGGCUUGCGGGUGGAAACCCGUUUGCGCCUGUGAAGAAGGGGGAGUGGGGUAAAGGGAAAAAGAGAACCGGGAAAGCUAGGUA
rnacentral:rRNA from 1 species